rfam:Serratia sp. M24T3 contig011, whole genome shotgun sequence.
GGGUCGUUAGCUCAGUUGGUAGAGCAGUUGACUUUUAAUCAAUUGGUCGCAGGUUCGAAUCCCGCACGACCCA